CAGCCGGUCUAUAAGCCAACAAGACCAAGAUAGAACAUAAACCAAUGAGACAUAAGCUUCAGAUUCUCUUUGAAAUCUGCGACAGAGAAGACACUCGGGGAUGGGAGGAAUAACAAUGGAAAAAUUGUUCAACCACCUCCCAAGUUCUUAUAAAAACACUUAUCACAUAAUUUACCUUCGGAACAUGCAGGAUUUCCUAAAAUAUCAUGCUACUAUGCGUU
rnacentral:misc_RNA from 1 species